rnacentral:rRNA from 1 species
AACGAACGCUGGCGGCGCGUCUUAAGCAUGCAAGUCGAACGGCAAGAGAGGAGCUUGCUUCUCUCCUAGAGUGGCGGACUGGUGAGGAACACGUGGGUAAUCUACCCUUAAGAUGGGGAUAGCUGCUAGAAAUAGCAGGUAAUACCGAAUACACUCGGCAUAUCACAAGAGGUGUUAAGGAAAGGAAGCUACGGCUUCGCUUGAGGAUGAGCUUGCGUCCCAUUAGCUAGUUGGUGAGGUAAAGGCCCACCAAGGCGACGAUGGGUAUCCGGCCUGAGAGGGUGAACGGACACAUUAGGACUGAGAUACGGCCCAAACUCCUACGGGAGGCAGCAGCUAAGAAUAUUCCGCAAUGGACGGAAGUCUGACGGAGCGACGCCGCGUGGAUGAAGAAGGCUGAAAAGUUGUAAAAUCCUUUUGUUGAUGAAGAAUAAGGGUGAGAGGGAAUGCUCAUCUGAUGACGGUAAUCGACGAAUAAGCCCCGGCUAAUUACGUG